rnacentral:rRNA from 1 species
UACGGGGGGGGCAAGCGUUGUUCGGAAUUACUGGGCGUAAAGGGCGUGUAGGUGGCCAACUAAGUCCGACGUGAAAUCCCCAGGCUCAACCUGGGAACUGCGUCGGAUACUGGAUGGCUUGAAUUCGGGAGAGGGAUGCAGAAUUCCAGGUGUAGCGGUGAAAUGCGUAGAUAUCUGGAGGAACAUCAGUGGCGAAGGCGGCCAUCUGGGACAACACUGACGCUGAAGCACGAAAGCGUGGGGAGCAAACAGG